rnacentral:tRNA from 1 species
AGUAAAAAUGGGGGAGCAGUAGCUUAAACCACAUCAAAGCACAACACUGAAAACGUUAAGAUAGAACAACCUCACUCCC